AAUGGUUGGAAAUCAUUCAUAGAGUGUAAAGGCAUAAGGGAGCUUGACUGCGAGACCUACAAGUCGAGCAGGGUCGAAAGACGGACUUAGUGAUCCGGUGGUUCCGCAUGGAAGGGCCAUCGCUCAACGGAUAAAAGCUACCCCGGGGAUAACAGGCUUAUCUCCCCCAAGAGUUCACAUCGACGGGGAGGUUUGGCACCUCGAUGUCGGCUCAUCGCAUCCUGGGGCUGUAGUCGGUCCCAAGGGUUGGGCUGUUCGCCCAUUAAAGCGGUACGCGAGCUGGGUUCAGAACGUCGUGAGACAGUUCGGUCCCUAUCCGUCGUGGGCGUAGGAAAUUUGAGAGGAGCUGUCCUUAGUACGAGAGGACCGGGAUGGACAUACCUCUGGUGUACCAGUUGUCGUGCCAACGGCAUAGCUGGGUAGCUAUGUGUGGACGGGAUAAGUGCUGAAAGCAUCUAAGCAUGAAGCCCCCCUCAAGAUGAGAUUUCCCAACUUCGGUUAUAAGAUCCCUCAAAGAUGAUGAGGUUAAUAGGUUCGAGGUGGAAGCAUGGUGACAUGUGGAGCUGACGAAUACUAAUCGAUCGAAGACUUAAUCAAAUU
rnacentral:rRNA from 1 species